CCCGCAGCCAGGGGCGCGCUGCGGCCUUCCGCCCGUGCGCUGCCUCAUGACUUCGUGAGGACGACAAUUGCAGACCUCCAGCGACGGCUGAAGCCAGCCAGGGCCGCCCCGCGCGCCGCCGCCGCCGCUCGCCAUCGCAAGCUGCCGUGCGCCCGCUGCUCCUCUUCCCCAAUUUCUUUUUCCAGGUGUUUUUUCCUUCUUUUCCAUGAAUAUGUUUUCACUUUUAGAAAUUGCAACAGCCAUGGGGAAGAUAAUGCAUCUUCUAUCUACUAGUGCCACCUUGAUUCCUAGAAACAAAUUCAGAGGAUUCAAAGCUAAAGAUAUACUGUAUGUGGGAUGGUGAAAAAGUAUUACCCAGCAGAUUUCCCCCAAGAUAUUUAUGCAUUGCAACAACAGGUAAACUAUUUUGUUGUGGACGCUUCCAAAGAUGAAGAGUUAAAAAAUAUAUCAACCUUAAUUGAUCUUCGUCGAUGCCUUGUGGAGACAGGAAGACAUACUAUCUACAAUCUGAUUGAAAGGCUGUUCCGUUUGCUCAUUACUCUCCCGGUUUCUACGGCGAGUGCUGAGCGUGCAUUUUCUAGUAUCAAAAUCAUUAAACAAGGUUGCGCAAUAAGAUGGAAGAUGAUUAUCUUGCCAAUAAUCUGUUAGUUAACAUAGAGGGUGACAUUCUGGAGACAUACACCUAUUAGGGAGGAGGUUUGCAAUGAACUCAAUAUUCUCACAGAAGGCCCUCUCGGACAAGUACUUGGUUCUGCCGGCCCUGGUGGGCGCAGACAAAUCUGACUGUUUCCGGUUCUUAGUGGAUAGAGUAUUGAAGAGAACGUCUGGCUAGAAGGAGAAGAUGUUGUCGAUUGGGGGAAAAGAGGUCCUGAUAAAAGCUACUUGCCCAGGCCAUCCCAUCUUAUGCAAUGUCGGUCCUCAAAAUCCCGAAAUCCACUUGUAAAGGGAUAACGGAUGCAAUGUCUCGAUUCUGGUGGGGUGACGACGGCGAUCAUAGAAGGAUGCAUUGGUUUGCUUGGUGAAAGCUCUUUAUUCCGAAGAAACAUGGCGGGAUGGGCUUCCGGGAUAUUCACUGCUUCAACUUGGCUCUGCUGGCCAAGCAAGCAUGGAGGUUGAUUGAUUCACCGGAGUUGUUUUGCGCUUCCAUCCUUAGACCCAAGUACUUUCCGGAUGGCAAUCUCCUCAAUGCAAAUUUAAAGAAAGGUGCCUCCUUUACGUGGCAGAGUAUGAUGGCGAAGUGAGGACUCUGAAGCUCGGCGUUAUUUGGGAGUUGGCGAUGGAAAUAAGAUUGAUAUAUGCCGUGAUCCUUGGGUUCCUGGAUGCUCUGCUAGAAAAUUCUUAGACAAGGGACUAAUUCUUUACUACUGUAAACACACAGUUUACCCAUGAUUCACCGUCCACUCGUUGUGGGCCGUCCAUGGGUUCAGAAUUCAGAUCCCUCUUGACCUAGCGGCGUGGACGACGGCGGUCGCAGGUCGGCAGGGGUGAUGGCGACGGUCAAGGCGGUAACCGCAUCUCAUCUCUUCACAAAUCUUAUCAUCUCCCUCAUCACCCCCCAUCGACGCCCUCCUCUCAACAAAACCGCCAUGCUUUUCCAUUGCUCAUGGGCCAUCAACGACCCAUCCCUGAACCCAUGGGUGGAUCCAGGAUAAAAAUUAAGAGGGGGCAACAAUGUGUUCAUGAACUAGUCGGACAACUGAGAGUGGGGGCAGCUUCUCUAUACCCAAGCUUGGUACAAAGGGAGUGAAAAAAUCGAGAGGGGGCAGCUGCCCCCACGGCUUCUAUGCUGGAUACGCCCAUGCCUGAACCGCCCCCUCGAUCCCGGUUCUGAGUAGCGCAAGGUAAACUGCUUCUCCAUCUGCGCACUACUCAGUUCUUCUUCUUCUUAAUUUAUUCACCUCUUCAGUAUGCACAGAUCGAUUUGGAUUGGCAUGGCAUGUUCCAUUGAUACAGGGUUCAGGUGAGGAACAAAGGGGCAGCGAGGAGAAGAGGGGGAGAUGAGGCUGCAGCAGAGAGGAAGAGGAGACACUGCGGCCGGCGGCCGGGCGGAGGAAUUCAAUGUUGGGGAAUUAUCCACCACCUCUUGAUUUUAACUUGGUACGUCUCUAUUGGCCGUAAGCAAGAGGACACUGAGAUAAUAUAUGGAAUUGCUGUUGACAAAGAUAUGAGCCACUCACAAAUGCCAAAGAGAAUUGAGGAUGCUAAUAUUGCCAUCUUGACCUGCCCAUUUGAGCCCCUGAAUCCCCAAGACAAAUCGUAGAAAAUUUCCGGACUUUGCAUGAGCAAGAGCAGAAGUACUCUGAUGAAAUGGUUCAGAAAUGCAAGGCUGCAUGUUUGAUUCGGUCAAUAGGCUGCCACCAUGUUUGUUUUUUUACAUUCUUGAUGACUGGCUCAGACCUCCAAAUCAUCUACUCCAGAAAUAAAGGUCUGUAUUCUUCUUUUCGCUGUGCUAUUGAGAAACUGAUGUCCAACCAAUUACUAAGCUAUGUGGAACUACUACCUGCAAUUUCAAGAAAAUCACCGCGUACUCCUUACACUCCUGAGCCUGCCUUUUUAGUUUUUACUAUAUAUAAAUAGGAAGAUGUUCCCAUUUGUAUCCUGAAGCUUGUAUAAUGGUUAAAUAUAGAUCUUCGGCUCAGAGCCAUAUAUCUCUACGUCUAGUUUUUUGUUUAGCAAAUACAAAUUAGUUCAUGUGUCUUUUUAGUUUGAAUAAUACAGAGCAGAAAAAAGGAGUCUCUUUUCCUCUCAAGAUGAGAGUAAGUAACCACAAUUCUUCUCUCUUGGUAGCAAUGUAAGUUUCAAUCACUCAGUUAUGGUGCAUAUAACAGUAAUGAGCAUGGGCUGAAUGCAGGAGCAGCUUCGUAUUUGCUCAAUAUAUUUUCUUUGGAUGCUUACAUUGUCACUUGUUUUUUUUAUUUAUGCUACACUUUACUUCUUAGUAGUAAUUACAUAAUUUAUGAUUUUUCUUACAUCUAUUAAGGGAAGAUGCCGAGGGAAACCCUAAGGACACUACAGGUUAUGUUGAGGCGGAUUCCUAUGGUCAAAUAUAUUAGCAGCAAAUAUUUACGUUUUUAAUGUCAACAUUGUCAAUAUAAUUGUGCGUGCUCCUUUCCUGUUUAUCUGAUUACUCUAUGAAAUACAAGGAUCAAUAAUUAAUUUUAUGAUGGCAUAAUGAUCCAUGGUAGUGUGUUCUCUACUAUUCUUUGAUUUUAUAUUAUCAACUCCAUAUUGCAGAAGUCGUCCUUUUCUGAAUAUUUAGGUUUUUAAUGUCAAAAUUGUCAAUAUAAUCUUGUGUGCUCCUUUCCUGUUUAUCUGAUUACUCUAUGAAAUACAAAGAUCAAUAAUUAAUUUUAUGAUGGCACAAUGAUCCAAGGUAGUGUGUUCUCUACUCUUCUUUGAUUUUACAAUAUCAACUCAAUAUUGAAGAAGUCGUCCUUUUUUCUUUAGAUUUUGGCAUUUCAGGACCAUAGUAAAGAUUUGUUUCAUAAGAAAAGAAAUAAAAAAGAGGUUGCGAACCUCCAAACCUUGUGCAGUAAAUAAAGCUUAAGUCUAAAGAAAAUCCGAUCAACUCAUCUCUAUAUUGGAAUCCCUUCAUGUCUUGAGCAUAUUCAAGCCAUGAGAUAUGCAUUGGGAGGUCAAAGGAUUUUAUUUCACCUAAACGAUGCACUCAAGGUAGCGCAAAUCAGCUGAAUGAUGAUUUUCUUUCAGGCGUGGUAUAUUGGUGACAUCAAUCACCAAUAGGUGUUCCAAUGAGCCCAGUUCUACGCUCAUGGGAUGGUGAAGAUCAAUCAUGUACGCAGUGAGAAAGCAAAGUUUUGGUAUGCCUGCAUACGAAGCUAGGCGAGGAAGCAAUUUUUGGUACACCUGCUCAAGUACAAUGGAUAUGAAGCGGAAGACACCAUGCAUCAGGAAAUAGAUAGUCUUAUAAAACAAGUUUUGUUGUGUUCUUACUUUCUAUACAUGUAGUGUUGAACUAUAGCUUUUAAAAACUCAUUUCAAGUUGAAGUGGAGUUUCAAUAUUUUGGAAUACCAUCAGGCUAUUUUUUGUUUGCA